rnacentral:rRNA from 1 species
AUUAAACGCUGGCGGCAUGCCUUACACAUGCAAGUCGAACGGCAGCACGGGGCAACCUGGUGGCGAGUGGCGAACGGGUGAGUAAAGCAUCGGAACGUGCCCUGGAGUGGGGGAUAACGUAGCGAAAGUUACGCUAAUACCGCAUAUUCUGUGAGCAGGAAAGCAGGGGAUCGCAAGACCUUGCGCUCUGGGAGCGGCCGAUGUCGGAUUAGCUAGUUGGUGGGGUAAAGGCCUACCAAGGCGACGAUCCGUAGCGGGUCUGAGAGGAUGAUCCGCCACACUGGGACUGAGACACGGCCCAGACUCCUACGGGAGGCAGCAGUGGGGAAUUUUGGACAAUGGGCGGAAGCCUGAUCCAGCCAUGCCGCGUGAGUGAAGAAGGCCUUC